AACAACGACUCUCGGCAACGGAUAUCUCGGCUCUUGCAUCGAUGAAGAACGUAGCGAAAUGCGAUACUUGGUGUGAAUUGCAGAAUCCCGUGAACCAUCGAGUCUUUGAACGCAAGUUGCGCCCGAAGCCAUUAGGCCGAGGGCACGCCUGCCUGGGUGUCACA
rnacentral:rRNA from 2 species